GCAGAGGCGGUGCGGCGGCCGUCACUUGUUCUAGCCUGCCGACCGCUGCAUGAUCGCCGCUGUCCAAGGUGUACUUUAAAUAGGGUGAGGCCAAGUAGGAAGGAGUAUUCUUGGCAAUACAUUUGACUGAAGAAAAUAGGGGCUUACGCUCCUUCGUUGCACUAGGGCCUCAAGACCUAAUCAGGCUCAGACACUUUUAAGUAUUUAUUGAAAUAAAACAAUAAUCACUCAAGGCAAAGGAUAUAUCUUCGCUUAUGGGACAUUUUCAUAGAGUACCCCUUUAAUACAUUCUUUCGAAGGUCAUUGCUAGACACAAACAAAAACGAGAGAUUGAACUCGAAGACCAAAACAAAUGCCGCACCUUGCGCUAAAUGCACCUUGGACACUGCCAUGUAUGCGCACCUACCCCACAGAUUAGACGUCAGUGUUAGCGUCUCAGUCAGCGUCGCAGUCGGCGAUUGUAGAAGGAUGAGAAGGGGGAAGCGUUCGUUUUGCAGUUGUCGCGCGCUCCGCACUUUGUCACUGCGGGAGAGAGGCUCUCACUUGGUCGUUUCCCUCUCUCGCCCUCCCGCGCCCACAAUCUGUUACUGUUAGCGAUUCCCAAUUGGAUUCCUGGUUGCUUCCGGUCGCUGCUCGUCUCGUUCGUUCGCGUUUGCCAAAUGCCUUGUUUUAUAUUUGAUUCACUUUUGAUUAAUGCGUGAAUGAAGUAUGGUGUUUGUGGGGGGUGGGAGGAUGGGGGAUGGGGGAGACAGCGGGAUAUUACAAUUUGAUGCAUUUACAAUGUUAGUAAUUAGUAAUCCGCUUAUCAGACAGAUCGAGAACACAUGAGUCGACGGGGGGGGUUCAAGAGCGGGGAGAACAUUCACAAGGGCAAGGACAAGGGCGCGGGCCGAGGCUGAUGUUUGCUGCUAAGCAAGUGGCUUAGUGAUGGGGUUUCAGAUGCAACGAUGAGUGACUAUCGUUUGUUAACUUACGAUGAAUGCAUUUUGUUCCUGUUUUUUUUUUUAAAUUUAUUUAUAGUUUUGCACUCUCUGUAUCUCUCUGUAGAUCUUUGACACUUGUACUCAUAAAUAUUGCAGGAUGCGACUGCUGACCUGGGAUGCUCUGAGACUGGAGAGAUGUAUUGAAACGGGGAAGCACAGUGGGCAAUUCUUUGCAGAGACUGACUGCGCAUAUCCAUCGGCGAUUGAUCUGCUUUUAUAGGCCCUGCCCUGCUGGUGUCCAGUGCGCCAGACGAGACUCCCGACUCCAAAAACCGACGGAGAGAGAGAGAGAUGUUCGUCGCUGUCGGAUGUGUGACUCGAUUUUUUGAUUAUUUUUAUGGCGUAUAAAACAAACACGAGUGGAGAAUAUGUGCUAAUUACCUUUUCAAGAUUCUCACAUUUUAUUAUUGCGAGUAUUUGGCGUCCGUCGGACGGAUUUACACAGCCCAACAACAAACAAAAACUACCGAUUUCACGGUUCAAGCCGCACGUGAACCUCUCUUGUCCGGGGUCCGGGUCCGCGUCCGCGUCCGUGUCCGUGCCAAGUGCGUAGUCAGCGGAUAGGCUGCGUCUCAAUGCGUAGUGCCCUACAGCCAGCGGAAAAUAUUGGUUGUGCUCGAUGGAUUAGAGGUGUGAAAAUGCUGAUUGGCAGGCAAUUUUUUUUAAGGGCAAAUAGGCUAUUGUUCGAGAUGUUUGUUGAUUGGAUGAAGGUCGGUGUUACGGCUAUAAGCAAUCAAAACAGGUUCUAAGUGGAAAUAGAACGAAAGACUUGCUACUAUUUUGGUGUGAUCCUAUCUUCGCAAAAACCUUUUUGCUUUGGGUGUAACGAACGGCAGUCGAUCUAAAUUUAAACGCAAAUAAAAAAAGACAUAAAGACGGACGGACGGACGGCCGUCUGGCGGAGCGGAGUCGGAGAGGAAGUUGGCCAAAUAAAUUGCGACAAGCUACAUUUUAUUUCAAUUUUAAAUGCACAAUUAACGUAUGUAUCGGCAUCUACAAACAUGCCUACCCAUCUCCAUCCCCAUCCCCAUCCCCCCAUACAUUCGACAGUACAUAAAAUAAACGGAGCACACAAACGUGAAGUAAUUUUCGAUUAA
rnacentral:sRNA from 1 species